UGGGGAAUAUUGCACAAUGGGCGAAAGCCUGAUGCAGCGACGCCGCGUGAGGGAUGACGGCCUUCGGGUUGUAAACCUCUUUCAGCAGGGACGAAGCGCUAGUGACGGUACCUGCAGAAGAAGCACCGGCUAACUACGUGCCAGCAGCCGCGGUAAUACGUAGGGUGCAAGCGUUGUCCGGAAUUACUGGGCGUAAAGAGUUCGUAGGCGGUUUGUCGCGUCGUUUGUGAAAACCAGCAGCUCAACUGCUGGCUUGCAGGCGAUACGGGCAGACGUGAGUACUGCAGGGGAGACUGGAAUUCCUGGUGUAGCGGUGAAAUGCGCAGAUAUCAGGAGGAACACCGGUGGCGAAGGCGGGUCUCUGGGCAGUAACUGACGCUGAGGAACGAAAGCGUGGGUAGCGAACAGG
rnacentral:rRNA from 1 species